rnacentral:rRNA from 1 species
GAUGAACGCUGGCGGCGUGCCUAAUACAUGCAAGUCGAGCGGACGGACGAGAAGCUCGCUUCUCUGAGGGUAGCGGCGGGCGGGUGAGUAACGCGUGGAUAACCAACCUAUAUGACUGGGGUGACUACGGGAAACCGUAUAUAAUACCAGAGAAUAUUUUGAACCGCAGGGAUCAAGAGUGAAUGACGGUCUUGCUGUCACUAAUAGAUGGAUCCGGGUUGCAUUAGCUAGUUGGUAAGGUAACGGCACACCAAGGCAACGAUGCGUAGCUGAUCUGAGAGGAUGAUCAGCCACACUGGAACUGAGACACGGUCCAGACUCCUACGGGAGGCAGCAGUGGGGAAUCUUGCACAAUGGGCGCAAGCCUGAUCGAGCCAUGCCGCGUGGGUGAUGAAGGCCUUCGGGUCGUAAAGCCCUUUUGUUGGGAAAGAACAGCAGCGGGAUAAUCCCCCGCUGUCCUGACGGUACCCAAAGAGAAAGCACCGGCUAACUUCGUG